rnacentral:lncRNA from 1 species
UAUAUUCUUGAUAAAAAUUAAUAAGAAUUCUUCUUAACCAUACUCCUUAACAUGUUGAUGAUGUAAUAGUUGCAUAUUUAGCUUCUGAUAUAAGGCUGUUGUUGUUUGCUUCUUUGAACUCCAACAAAUAGCAUAUGAUUUAAGAUUAAAAACAUAACCAAAUGUGCUUUUUCGAUCCUCCAACCAUGGCUAUCUCACUCUAACAGCUUAUAUCAUUACCUCUAUUGCACUUUUUUUUAUCAUCACUAUCAUUCAGUUACCUAUUUGAGUACAAAUGAAGUAAUGAGCUUAAGCUACUC